rnacentral:rRNA from 1 species
UACGUAGGUCCCGAGCGUUGUCCGGAUUUAUUGGGCGUAAAGCGAGCGCAGGUAGUUUAUUAAGUCUGGUGUAAAAGGCAGUGGCUCAACCAUUGUAUGCAUUGGAAACUGGUAGACUUGAGUGCAGGAGAGGAGAGUGGAAUUCCAUGUGUAGCGGUGAAAUGCGUAGAUAUAUGGAGGAACACCGGUGGCGAAAGCGGCUCUCUGGCCUGUAACUGACACUGAGGCUCAAAAGCGUGGGGAGCAAACAGG